rnacentral:lncRNA from 1 species
CCUCCAGAGGCAGCUGUCCACAUCUGGGCCUGCAGUGGAGGCCAGUCAUGGGGGUGGGAGCUUGGCCCAGGAUGACUCAGCUCUCUUGGGA